CUAAGAGCGAAUGGUGGAUGCCUUGACUGGUAAAGGCGAUGAAGGACGUACUAGACUGCGAUAAGCUACGGGGAGCUGUCAAGAAGCUUUGAUCCGUAGAUUUCCGAAUGGGGCAACCCAAUGUAUAGAGAUAUACAUUACCUAUAUAGGAGCGAACGAGGGGAAUUGAAACAUCUUAGUACCCUCAGGAAAAGAAAUCAAUAGAGAUUGCGUCAGUAGCGGCGAGCGAAAGCGCAAGAGGGCAAACCCAGUGCUUGCACUGGGGGUUGUAGGACUGCAAUGUGCAAGAGGUGAGUUUAGCAGAACAUUCUGGAAAGUAUAGCCAUAGAGGGUGAUAGUCCCGUAUGCGAAAAACAAACCUUAGCUAGCAGUAUCCUGAGUAGGGCGGGACACGAGAAAUCCUGUCUGAAGCUGGGUCGACCACGAUCCAACCCUAAAUACUAAUACCAGAUCGAUAGUGCACAAGUACCGUGAGGGAAAGGUGAAAAGAACUGAGGUGAUCAGAGUGAAAUAGAACCUGAAACCAUUUGCUUACAAUCAUUCAGAGCACUAUGUAGCAAUACAGUGUGAUGGACUGCCUUUUGCAUAAUGAGCCUGCGAGUUGUGGUGUCUGGCAAGGUUAAGCAAACGCGAAGCCGUAGCGAAAGCGAGUCUGAAUAGGGCGCUUAGUCAGAUGCUGCAGACCCGAAACGAAGUGAUCUAUCCAUGAGCAAGUUGAAGCUAGUGUAAGAACUAGUGGAGGACUGAACCCAUAGGCGUUGAAAAGCCCCGGGAUGACUUGUGGAUAGGGGUGAAAGGCCAAUCAAACUUCGUGAUAGCUGGUUCUCUCCGAAAUAUAUUUAGGUAUAGCGUUGUGUCGUAAUAUAAGGGGGUAGAGCACUGAAUGGGCUAGGGCAUACACCAAUGUACCAAACCCUAUCAAACUCCGAAUACCUUAUAUGUAAUCACAGCAGUCAGGCGGCGAGUGAUAAAAUCCGUCGUCAAGAGGGAAACAACCCAGACUACCAGCUAAGGUCCCUAAAUCUUACUUAAGUGGAAAACGAUGUGAAGUUACUUAAACAACCAGGAGGUUGGCUUAGAAGCAGCCAUCCUUUAAAGAAAGCGUAAUAGCUCACUGGUCUAGUGAUUUUGCGCGGAAAAUAUAACGGGGCUAAAGUAAGUACCGAAGCUGUAGACUUGACUUUGUCAAGUGGUAGGAGAGCGUUCUAUUUGCGUCGAAGGUAUACCGGUAAGGAGUGCUGGAGCGAAUAGAAGUGAGCAUGCAGGCAUGAGUAGCGAUAAUUAAUGUGAGAAUCAUUAACGCCGUAAACCCAAGGUUUCCUACGCGAUGCUCGUCAUCGUAGGGUUAGUCGGGUCCUAAGUCGAGUCCGAAAGGGGUAGACGAUGGCAAAUUGGUUAAUAUUCCAAUACCAACAUUAGUGUGCGAUGGAAGGACGCUUAGGGCUAAGGGGGCUAGCGGAUGGAAGUGCUAGUCUAAGGUCGUAGGUGCUUAUACAGGCAAAUCCGUAUAAGAAUACACCGAGAACUGAAAGGCUUUUUGAAGUCUUCGGAUGGAUAGAAGAACCCCUGAUGCCGUCGAGCCAAGAAAAGUUUCUAAGUUUAGCUAAUGUUGCCCGUACCGUAAACCGACACAGGUGGGUGGGAUGAGUAUUCUAAGGCGCGUGGAAGAACUCUCUUUAAGGAACUCUGCAAAAUAGCACCGUAUCUUCGGUAUAAGGUGUGGUUCGCUUCGUAUUAGGAUUUACUCCGAAAGCGAAGAAACUUACAACAAAGAGUCCCUCCCGACUGUUUACCAAAAACACAGCACUCUGCUAACUCGUAAGAGGAUGUAUAGGGUGUGACGCCUGCCCGGUGCUCGAAGGUUAAUUGAUGGGGUUAGCAUUAGCGAAGCUCUUGAUCGAAGCCCGAGUAAACGGCGGCCGUAACUAUAACGGUCCUAAGGUAGCGAAAUUCCUUGUCGGUUAAAUACCGACCUGCAUGAAUGGCGUAACGAGAUGGGAGCUGUCUCAAAGAGGGAUCCAGUGAAAUUGUAGUGGAGGUGAAAAUUCCUCCUACCCGCGGCAAGACGGAAAGACCCCGUGGACCUUUACUACAGCUUGACACUGCUACUUGGAUAAGAAUGUGCAGGAUAGGUGGGAGGCUUUGAGUAUAUGACGCCAGUUGUAUAUGAGCCAUUGUUGAGAUACCACUCUUUCUUAUUUGGGUAGCUAACCAGCUUGAGUUAUCCUCAAGUGGGACAAUGUCUGGUGGGUAGUUUGACUGGGGCGGUCGCCUCCCAAAUAAUAACGGAGGCUUACAAAGGUUGGCUCAGAACGGUUGGAAAUCGUUCGUAGAGUAUAAAGGUAUAAGCCAGCUUAACUGCAAGACAUACAAGUCAAGCAGAGACGAAAGUCGGUCUUAGUGAUCCGGUGGUUCUGUGUGGAAGGGCCAUCGCUCAAAGGAUAAAAGGUACCCCGGGGAUAACAGGCUGAUCUCCCCCAAGAGCUCACAUCGACGGGGAGGUUUGGCACCUCGAUGUCGGCUCAUCGCAUCCUGGGGCUGGAGCAGGUCCCAAGGGUAUGGCUGUUCGCCAUUUAAAGCGGUACGCGAGCUGGGUUCAGAACGUCGUGAGACAGUUCGGUCCCUAUCUGCCGUGGGCGUAAGAAGAUUGAAGAGAUUUGACCCUAGUACGAGAGGACCGGGUUGAACAAACCACUGGUGUAGCUGUUGUUCUGCCAAGAGCAUCGCAGCGUAGCUAAGUUUGGAAAGGAUAAACGCUGAAAGCAUCUAAGCGUGAAGCCAACUCUAAGAUGAAUCUUCUCUAAGCUCUCUAGAAGACUACUAGUUUGAUAGGCUGGGUGUGUAAUGGAUGAAAGUCCUUUAGCUGACCAGUACUAAUAGAGCGUUUGGCUUAUCUUUA
rnacentral:rRNA from 1 species